UACGGAGGGUGCAAGCGCUAAUCGGAAUUACUGGGCGUAAAGCGUGCGCAGGCGGUUUGUUAAGUCCGUUGUGAAAGCCCCGAGCUCAACUUGGGAAUUGCAGUGGAUACUGGCAGGCUGGAGUACGGUAGAGGAAGGUGGAAUUCCCGGUGUAGCAGUGAAAUGCGUAGAUAUCGGGAGGAACACCAGUGGCGAAGGCGGCCUUCUGGACCAGUACUGACGCUCAUGCACGAAAGCGUGGGGAGCAAACAGG
rnacentral:rRNA from 1 species